CCGGAUAGGUAUGAGGGAGGCAUCUUCCUCAUAUUAAAGCACCUUCGGGUGUGAACAUGGAUGGACCUGCGGCGCAUUAGCUGGUUGGUGAGGUAACGGCCCACCAAGGCGAUGAUGCGUAGCCGACCUGAGAGGGUGAACGGCCACAUUGGGACUGAGACACGGCCCAAACUCCUACGGGAGGCAGCAGUAGGGAAUUUUCGUCAAUGGGGGGAACCCUGAACGAGCAAUGCCGCGUGUGUGAAGAAGGUCUUCGGAUCGUAAAGCACUGUUGUAAGUGAAGAAUGCCAUAUAGAGGAAAUGCUAUGUGGGUGACGGUAGCUUACCAGAAAGCCACGGCUAACUACGUGCCAGCAGCCGCGGUAAUACGUAGGUGGCAAGCGUUAUCCGGAAUCAUUGGGCGUAAAGGGUGCGUAGGUGGCACGAUAAGUCUGAAGUAAAAGGCAACAGCUCAACUGUUGUAUGCUUUGGAAACUGUCGAGCUAGAGUGCAGAAGAGGGCGAUGGAAUUCCAUGUGUAGCGGUAAAAUGCGUAGAUAUAUGGAGGAACACCAGUGGCGAAGGCGGUCGCCUGGUCUGUAACUGACACUGAUGCACGAAAGCGUGGGGAGCAAAUAGGGUUAGAUACCCUAGUAGUCCACGCCGUAAAACGAUGAGAACUAAGUGUUGGAGAGAUUCAAGUGCUGCAGUUAACCCAAUAAGUUCUCCGCCUGGGGAGUAUGCACGCAAGUGUGAAACUCAAAGGAAUUGACGGGGGCCCGCACAAGCGGGUGGAGUAUGUGGUUUAAUUCGAAGCAACGCGAAGAACCUUACCAGGCCUUGACAUGGAUAUAAAUGUUCUAGAGAUAGAAAGAUAGCUAUAUAUCACACAGGUGGUGCAUGGUUGUCGUCAGCUCGUGUCGUGAGAUGUUGGGUUAAGUCCCGCAACGAGCGCAACCCUUGUCUUCUGUUACCAGCAUUAGGUUGGGGACUCAGGAGAGACUGCCGGUGACAAACCGGAGGAAGGUGGGGAUGACGUCAAAUCAUCAUGCCCCUUAUGGCCUGGGCUACACACGUACUACAAUGGCGCCUACAAAGAGCAGCGACACCGCGAGGUGGAGCGAAUCUCAUAAAGGGCGUCUCAGUUCGGAUUGAAGUCUGCAACUCGACUUCAUGAAGUCGGAAUCGCUAGUAAUCGCAGAUCAGCAUGCUGCGGUGAAUACGUUCUCGGGCCUUGCAC
rnacentral:rRNA from 1 species